rnacentral:rRNA from 1 species
AAACGACUCUCGGCAACGGAUAUCUCGGCUCUCGCAUCGAUGAAGAACGUAGCGAAAUGCGAUACUUGGUGUGAAUUGCAGAAUCCCGUGAACCAUCGAGUCUUUGAACGCAAGUUGCGCCCGAAGCCUUCUGGCUGAGGGCACGUCUGCCUGGGUGUCACGCAU